rnacentral:rRNA from 1 species
UACGGAGGAUGCAAGCGUUAUCCGGAUUCAUUGGGUUUAAAGGGUACGUAGGUGGCCCAGUAAGUCAGUGGUGAAAUCCUGCCGCUUAACGGUAGAACUGCCAUUGAUACUGCU